ACAAAGAAACUCAGUCAUUAUGAAAAUAAUUCUUCAAGAAACAGUAUUUAUAUGUAAAAUGGGCGGAUACUACUACUUCUAUAAACCAAAUGUGAAUGUUUAAGAAAUAACGCUCACCUGCAGAGACAAGCAUGACAAUGCUGAAAAACCACAAGAACCAGCGGAACAACGCAGAUGACUCGGCAGCCAUUCUUGUGCUUUCUAGAUCAGCUGACUGUAUUUUGUUUUAUGAGUAUGUUAUUGUUUUCUGUUAAUGCCACAGGCUACUUUAAAAACUAAAGGAAUGCCAAAGUCACAAACCACGUUUUCAGCAGUGCGCCGCCAUUACUGUUCAGGAAGAAACUUAGCUGAAAACGUCAUCACAUGGAAUUUUUUUUUUUUUAUAGACAGCACAAGUUUAGAGCUGAUGUAUUUCACGUGAAAGGGUGUUUUGGGUGAGAGAAAUAGCAGCCCUGAGACCUAAACUAUUUUUAAUUUUCUCCUAACUAUUUGUAAUGAGUUUAUAUUCCUGUCUGGCCCAACUAAGCUUCCUUUAUUAACUGGAAGAUGUAACACAGUUGUUACUUACUUAAAAAAAUAAAAAUCCUGAGUUUCAGGAGCUUAAAUAUUAUUCACAGCUCACCUACUUUUCCUUUUUUUUUUUUUUUUUUUUUAUAUUCUUUAUUUCUACAAUAUUACCUCAUAAAGAUGAUUACAGGCAUUAAUUAACACAGUUUACAAGAGAAAAACGAAACAAAACGAGAAGAAAGACAGAUAGAAAGAAAAAGAAAGAAAAAAAAAAAAAAAAAAAAAAAAGGAAAAAAAAAAUAUAUAUAUAAAAUAAAAGGAGAAAGCUCUGUCGGGAGUAAACAAUUAACUAAAUUGGUGGUUUCAAGCUUUAAAGAGAAAAUUCGGUUUAUAGGUAUUAACGUAUUGGACCCACUUAUCCCAGCACAGAUGGAACCAGGCCAUCCUGUCAUUAACAUGAGCUGUUACUUCCUCCAUCCUAUAUAUCUCUAACGUAAUUUCCCACCAUAAUGACAAAGUCGGUAUGUCUUGCGAGGACCAUUUCUUUGUUAUACAUUUCUUACUUGCAACCAAUAAAGCUCGUAACAGACAUAUGUCACUUUUGGACCAGUUCUGCGGUAUACAGCCAAAAAAAAUUGUCUUCAUAUCCUGAGGGAAUGUACAGUUAAAAAUGCCUUGUAAUAUACCAUGAAUGUCUUUCCAGUAAGUCCGUAGCACAGGACAGUCCCACAUAAUAUGGGUGUGAUGGGCUCCUUGGUAUCCACAGUUUCGCCAGCACACGGGAGGAUUCCCAUCAUAGUGAGCCUUUUGACAUGGAGUGAUAAAGAACCUUAUCAGAGUUUUCCAUCCGAACUCCCUCCAGCUUUUGGAGGAAGUACUCCUCCAUUGCCAUUCCCACAUCUGAGUCCAUUCUUCCCUAGAAAUACACAUCCCUCCCUCCUUUUCCCAUAACAUCUUCACAUAAUCAGUUGAGUGUGGAAGCUUAUUCAUAAAAAAAUUGUACCAAAAAAAAAUGAGUCUUGUGUCAACAUCCCCACUGUACGCCUGUCUAAAUAAAGUUACCAAUUCCACGUUAGUAUUUGACAUCUGACCGAUUGUUGUCUUUAUAUAGUGUCUUAUUUGCAAGUAUCGAAAAAAAUCCUGUUUUUCUAGAUUGUGUCUCUGUUUCAGCAUGUCAAAACUAAUAAGGUUCCCAUCCUUUAUCAAACUAUCAUAUGUAGAUAACCCUUUAGCAGGCCAGCUUUUAAAACGUGAGUCCA
ensembl:lncRNA